rnacentral:misc_RNA from 1 species
GAUGAAGAACGCAGCGAAAUGCGAUAAGUAGUGUGAAUUGCAGAAUUCAGUGAAUCAUCGAAUCUUUGAACGCACAUUGCGCCCCUUGGUAUUCCAUGGGGCAUGCCUGUUCGAGCGUCAUUUGUACCUUCAAGCUCUGCUUGGUGUUGGGUGUUUGUCUCGCCUCUGCGUGUAGACUCGCCUCAAAACAAUUGGCAGCCGGCGUAUUGAUUUCGGAGCGCAGUACAUCUCGCGCUUUGCACUCAUAACGACGACGUCCAAAGUACAUUUUUACACUCUUGACCUCGGAUCAGGUAGGGAUACCCGCUGAACUUAAGCAUAUCAAUAAGCGGAGGA